GGCAAUUACAAGGUAAGCUAAACUAAUAUUCAACCCCGCAAAAAAAAAAAAAAAAAAAAAAAAACUAGUUCUCUGCAGUAGUGAAUCCACAUUCCUUCCAACCAUGAUAUGAAUGCUUCAGAAGAACUGAGAUCGGAACAGCCUCAGAAGAAUGCUUCGGACCAGAUGUUAUCAUAUGCACCUGCAGAAAGAACCUAGUAUAAGUAUGAAAGCACAAAUCCGAUGCUUUAGCCAAAAAAUAAAGAGACCAGAUUUCAUGUCUCUAAAGGCAGAUUUUACAAAAUCUGUUCAAGUUUGAAGACAACUUUAUCAAGAGUUUCAUUCAAAGCAUUCUCUGGUGUCCAAGUAGCAUCAUGUAACUCCUUAUGUCCGGUAACAGUAAUAUAUAGAGUGAUUGAGAGGAUCUGAGUUCAGUGAAGGAAGAAGCUGAGUUAAAGUCAUUAUCUGAGUGUAGAGUAACCAUCUACUGCCAUAAAAUCCUUACAAAAAAAAAAAAAAAGUCAUAAUCAUAUUAAGCCAAAGUUUCUUUCUUUCCAAUAGACCCAUAUCGUUCAAAUUUAAUAUGUUUGGGUGUCUAGUAUUAGCUAAAAUAUUGGGGUCUGAACAGAGAAAAAUGAAUAUACCUCUAUAAGUGAAAAGAAAAAAAAAAAUCAACAAUUACACUAUGCAACGAUAAUACGAUAUAAUAAGAUUUGAAAUUUCACCUAGAGAUAUCGGACACUCUGCUCAACUUAACAGCUCAUCAGUUUUGCAACGGCCUUCACUUCAUUCGACUUCCCACCUGCGCGAGUGAUCUCCAAGCGCUCUCCAACCGCCAGAGUCUUUAAAAGACUAAAAUUGCCCCUCUUUCCGUGCAACAGAAGCUUACUCUUCUUCUCUCCCUCUCUUGAUUCUUGAUCAUCAAACAACUGCGAUUUUUCCUUCUCACUCCACACGCGAUUGCUUCACUCUGUUUCUCUCUCUUCUUCCUCCAAGAACAACGCUUUUUUCAUCUCUCUCUUCUCCCUCAAGACCCUGCUUUCUCAUCUCUCUCUUCUUCCUCGAAGAACAACAUCGCCGUUUUCUCUUCUCUCUCUACCCGAUGAAUUCUAACGACGACGCAGAUCAUCCCGACGAAAAUCAACCGGAAUCUCCUCCAGCAAAUCAACUGGCUAAUCCUCCUCCUUCGCCGGUAAGUUUCCCGAUUACGAGUCGUUUGAAGUAAAAAAAGCUCCUAUCUUUCCGCAACUAGGGUUUUGUUG
rnacentral:lncRNA from 1 species